GCAGGUAAGUGAGUGGACGUGAAUACUGCACUCAUCACACCCGAGCGGAAAGAAAUGCAUGUAUUGUUUAGAUGAAGAAGGAGAAAAGAGGACAAAAUAAGACGCAUUUAAUCUCCAAUUUUUCUUGCAUUAAUUGAAGCCGGAAUCUACAAGGUCUCUUGCUGUGGAUAAACGAAAGAAGCACACGCACGCACGCACACACACACACACACACACACACACACACACACACACACACACAGUGAGCCUGCUGGACAAAAUGAUGGAGUUCGAGUCCGGAUCCAACUCGAGCAUUUUUUUAACGAUCCAGAAGCUUGCCUCAGGGCAUUUUUAGAGACACAGCUCCAGAGCACUUUUUAUCUGAUCAUUUGUUAUAUAUUUAUUUCCUCACCAGUGAUUCUCUUUCCACUGCACACAGAGACGUGUUUCUCACUCUAACCACCAGAAGGCACAAUUCCAUCACUGCACAGACAAACUUUUUUUACUUCUCACGUGUACGUUACAGCACAGUGAAAUUCCUUCUUCAUAUCUCUCCAUAUUCUUCUUCUUCUCUUCUCCUCAAUACACACACAAGAGCUCCUCAAUCUCCGUGUCCGCUCUCAGGUGCUAUGUUGUGCACUGAUUCAUUGUUUAAGCACUACAUGGCACUGAACACACACACACACACACACACGCACACCGUGAGAGAUUUAUUUAACGUUUUGUUGCACAUGCCAGAAAAAAAUGGCAGUGAGUUCUGUCUCGCCACUCACAUCCAGCUGUGUCCCAGCUGUUUUACACACACA